rnacentral:rRNA from 1 species
CACGACUACGAGUUUGAUCCUGGCUCAGGAUGAACGCUAGCGGCAGGCUUAACACAUGCAAGUCGAGGGGUAUUGGUUUUCGGACCAAGAGACCGGCGCACGGGUGCGUAACGCGUAUGCAAUCUACCUUUGCAGAGGGAUAGCCCAGAGAAAUUUGGAUUAAUACCUCAUAGUAUAGUACUUUGGCAUCAAGGAACUAUUAAAGUCACAACGGUAUAAGAUGAGCAUGCGUCCCAUUAGUUAGUUGGUAAGGUAACGGCUUACCAAGACAAUGAUGGGUAGGGGUCCUGAGAGGGAGAUCCCCCACACUGGUACUGAGACACGGACCAGACUCCUACGGGAGGCAGCAGUGAGGAAUAUUGGUCAAUGGGCGCAAGCCUGAACCAGCCAUGCCGCGUGCAGGAAGACGGUCCUAUGGAUUGUAAACUGCUUUUAUACAGGAAGAAACCCUCCCACGUGUGGGAGCUUGACGGUACUGUAGGAAUAAGGAUCGGCUAACUCCGUG